rnacentral:rRNA from 1 species
AGAUUGAACGCUGGCGGCAGGCCUAACACAUGCAAGUCGAGCGGUAGAGAGGUGCUUGCAUCUCUUGAGAGCGGCGGACGGGUGAGUAAUGCCUAGGAAUCUGCCUAGUGGUGGGGGAUAACGUUCGGAAACGGACGCUAAUACCGCAUACGUCCUACGGGAGAAAGCGGGGGACCGAAAGGCCUCGCGCGAUUGGAGCGGCCGAUGUCAGAUUAGCUAGUUGGUGGGUAAAGGCCACCAGGGCGACGAUCUGUAGCUGGUCUGAGAGGACGACCAGCCACACUGGAACUGAGACACGGUCCAGACUCCUACGGGAGGCAGCAGUGGGGAAUUUUGGACAAUGGGCGCAAGCCUGAUCCAGCAAUGCCGCGUGCAGGAAGAAGGCCUUCGGUUGUAAACUGCUUUUAGUACGGAACGAAACGGUACGUGGUUAAUACCGUACGGCGUAAUGACGGUACCGUAAGAAUAAGACACGACUAACUACGUGCAGCAGCCGCGGUAACUCUA